UCUUCCGGCAGCAUUUCCCCAGCGCUCCAACAAACUCUGCCACUCAGUGUAAACGGUCCUGCCAAACCCCACAGAAGCAGGCGAAUGGACAGGGUUUCUCACAGCAACACCUAAAAAGGUCUGGGUCUGCGAAAAAAAGAACUCAGAUUUGAAUUUUAAGUGAAUUUUCCCACCAACUCGGCGUACUUAAGGAAAAGAAAUCACAUCCCGAAAACACUAGCAAAGCUUGCUAAAGCUUCUUUCUGCGGACCAGGCGAGCUGAACAAACUGCACCGGGAAGAAAAACGACAGGAAAAGAUGCAAAGGUGGCCAACAGGGCUGUGUUCCCUCCCUAUUGUUUGACCUAAGACCAAACUAUGGUGGAGGUAAUGAAGAAAAUGGUGAUCUUCAAAAGGUGCCAUGCAGGCAUUUGCUGCACUCAGUGCCCCCAACCCUGCAGCAGAGCACUGCCGACCCAUGACUCUGCAGGAGACGCCUGGACACUCACAGGCAAGUCUGGUUUGCAUAUUGCCUCACCUUUCUGGGCCUGUUUGCUCAUCUGUUUCCAAAAGCUACUGUGAAGACUGAAUGAGGGGCUUCCCUCAUAGCUCGGUUGGUAAAGAAUCCGCUUG